CCGUUUGUUAGUCUUUCGCUCUGGCCUGAGUGAGACUCAUGUCGGUUAAAUUCGCAGUUUUUUCAACUCGCCGUUUCUCAUUUUUGUCGUGUACGGCAUCGCGUAAUCACGUCGUUAAUCGUCGGCCGACUAUCACCUCUCUCUGCGACAACAACCGUGUUUGCUUAGUGUUUACGUGUCGCACGGUUCAAUCAGCAGAAUGAGAACCACUGGAAAUUGGACCUUGUGAACGUUCGGAUGCAACGACGUCCCCUUUCACCGCCGGCUCGGCGACACGUAUACAACAACAACAACAACCGCCGCCGCAGUCUCCCCUCCGCGCAACGUCUGGCUCGGAAUGCCGUCUGACGACGUUCAUUAAUUGGACGUGUACUGCGUAGCGUCGUACGGCGUCGGUGCACUGCGGACCAGUCGGCCAUUUAUUUCCAAACUUCACUUCUUCGUCGGUACCUACUGCUCUGCUGUGUGCGCACUGUGUUCGUCUCGUCGCCUCCAAACGCCGACGGUGAUUGUUUUCCGUUCGGUACGCCAUCGGGGCCGGCAUAACAUGGACAGGUUAGGUCUCAUUACGACGGCGAGAACUUGUUGAUUCAGUACCGGCGACUGAAGAAUUUCGCCAUGCAAGCCAUGUAUAACAGGUCAAGUAUAAGGGCUGUUCAUCGUGCAGAAUAUCUGGAACUGUUACAUUGUUACUGGUUUGCAUGCUGUAAGUUUAAGAUUUCUACUCGCAUUAUUCAAUAAGUUAUGAGUAGGUCUUGGAAGUUGUUGAAUUUCAAUGUUUUUAUUGGACUAUUAUAUUUACUAAGUUGGUUUGAAAUUAAUUUCACGACACUACCUACGAAAAGAUUCUAUAAUUAUUCCAUAAUACUAUUAUGCAUGUUAAAAUUAUUAAAUAUACAUUAACUAUAUACUUAAGGUAAAUAUAUUGGAUAGGAGGAGGGCAUGCCCCCUGGAAUGUCUAGGACUUAUCUACAACUUUAAUAACUAUAAAGAUUAUUAUCUAUUUAAUGUAAUCCAAACAUAAAACAAUGCCAAUUGGUAUAAAAUAAAAAUAAUAUCUUUCAUAGCUUGUUAACAUAAAUAUAAUAAGAAUAAUAGUGAAACAAUUAAUAUAUGCAUUAAAUAAAAAUUUAUAUUUUUACCUUUAAAUAAAAUGUUUAAAUAAAUCAACAAAGUAAAAAUAAAUGAAAAACUUAGUUAACAUACUCUGUAUAAAAUAAAAAUAGUACUCUAUAUGUCUUAUAAAGAUAGUAUAAUAAUAAAAAUAGUGAACCAAUAACUAAAUUGCACAAAAUAAACGUAAACACUAUACCAGAUGUUACCCAAUAAAUAUGAAAACAAAGUAUAAAAUAAAAAAACAUAGUUCAUUAUUAUAGUCAGUCUUUAUCUUUAUCUUCUAUGGAAGUCUUCCAUGCACUCUGGACAAACUGCAGUUUUAUAAUGUAUAUUUUGUGAUGAUGCACUGUAUUUAAAUUGGCACAAACCUAUAUCUACUUUAUCUCCCGUUAGUUUCUUUAGACUUAAAAAAAUUAUGUCACAUAUUGCAUCGUAAUAUUUUUAAAAUUAUGUGGUCUAAAACUUAAACUUUGUUUAGUUGAUUGGGUUUAGCCAUUUGAAUUCUGGCGAUGUAAUGUGAUGUAGAGUAGAAUUUAGGUUUGAAUAAUAUGUUUCUAAUUUGAAUGGAUGUUAACCACCUACAUCAUUGACCUUAACACAAAUAAUAAUUGCGAAAUAUUUUUAUUUUAUGUAAUAUGUUUAUAAAGUAUGACAAAUAUUAUGCUUAUAAUGGAAUCUUAUAAUUAAUAUUAACAAAUUAUACUAAUAUAUUAUGUAUCAUAACAUUGUGUUAACUAUAACUGAAAUUAUCAAAAUCAUUAGAAGUUUCUAUUAUUUUAUUUCAAUCAUUUGUAAUGUAAUAUAAAAUAAUAUGAUAAACUAAAUUUAAAAUCAACUGAUUAAUGAAAGGUCUUGAAUUUUGCAGACGCAUAGUUACUAAAAUUAAAUAUUUGUUAUGUCAUGAAUAAUGAUAAUAUAAAAGAUAACUAAAAAUAGUUUUAUCAUUUUUCUUCAUAUUCAACAUUAGCUGAUUAUCUCCCAUGUACAAAAUACGUACUAACCAAAGUGUGACAAUCCUCCGCUAUGCAUUAGAAGUGUAUCAGAGAAACAUUAGAGGGGCCCACAUAAGAGGUUCAUUGUUUUGAAGGAUUAAAAUGUUUAUGUGAUAACAUUACAAAUUGAAAUAUUUAUUACUAGAUUAUUUUCUGAAUUCAGAGACAUUAAAAUGUAAAUUUUUGAUUUAUUUCACAUAAGAGACUUUGAGCUUUGUCCUGAGCAACAUCAUGUUUAAUUUAAUGCAUUUGCUGGAAUUAAAAACCAAAUAACUUCAUUUUGACGAGAAAUUCAAUAUGGUUAUGGAACAAUGGAAUGAUAGAAAAUAUUUAAAUUCCUUAGAUGAAAAUAAAAUCAUAUUAUUAUAGGAAUAUUCAAGAAACCAAUACAUUUUUGACUUAGAGGCUAUUAACUUGUUUUAUUUUCUUUAAACGUACACAGCCGUAAACAUGGUACUUUAGUUAUGAAAUUAAUUAUUUUGUCAUUGUCAUAUCAAACUUAUAGUAGACAGCCAAUUCCUAACAAGUUUUAAAAUAUUUUUGACAUCUAGAUUUUAUAGUAUUGCCAUAUUAUGCCACUUUUCUUCUGCUUUUUUUUCUAAGAUUAAACAUUGAGUCAACCACAAUUAUUUUCUAUAAAUCUUUUGAAUAUGGUGAAGUUUGGUUAACUUUUUAAUUUGGCCAUUUAAAUAUAAUAAUAAUUUAAUAUAAUUUUCCAUAUUAUGUUAUGCGUUUAUUUCUGCAGUCGAAUAGUAAAUUAAAUAUUUAAAAUUGUUUAAUUCACUUUAAAAAUUGAAAACUUAUUUUAUCCAUAUGAUUGAGUACAAUUAUAUAAGUUGUGUACAUAAGCAACCAUUUUAUAUAUCAUAUAAAUACAAUUAGGCAAUAUCUUAGUGUAAAUGUUCAUAACAACACAAAUAAUUAAUAUUUUACAAAAUGUAACAUAAAAUAAUUAGGUUGAACAGAAAAUGAAAAAAUUAUACAAACAUAAAAAAUAAAUAUUAAAAUACCUAGUACCUUAAGUAUUGUUUAUUUAUUUAAGUGUUAGUUGGUCCUUUGUCCAACUUUGUUACUGUUAUGCACAUUAAUGUCUUUUACAUAGAUAAAUAAACAAAGGACCUGUGUUAGGUAUAUUUGGAUUAAUAAUAUUUAUUCUUUCUUCAGAAAAUAUACGUUUAAAACAAGCAAACAAAUUGCGUUCAUACACACAAAAAGUUUGGUUACAAUUUGACUUCUUAAAAUAAUUGUCUGUUAAAUAAGGUUUCUGUUGAAAUUCUAAACUGUAACUAUAAUAUUACUAUAUUAUCAUAAUUUUAUUUUUGUGUUUUUGAGCUAUAACUCUGAAGGUUAAUACUUCUAUUGAUUAUACUUUUUCAAUUCAAACAUAGAUAUAGUAUCUAUUGUCAAAUGCUUUUAUCAUUUGCACCAUCUAAAUAUUUAUAAAACAAAAUAUAAGAAUAAUAAAAAUACAAAUUUAUACUUAUUAUUAUUGACAUUGUUAAAUGCGGCCCUUCAGGGAUUCCAAAUGAUGAUGAUUGAAAUAAGUUGUAGUAGUCGUGAAGUUACUUAGGUCUCAACUGCUCUGGUACAUCUGAAUAUGCCAUGUCCUGGCCCCUCUAUAUAUGAUUUCAGCUCCUUUGAUAUGGCUGGCUCGUGCAUUUGCCGGUGUUUUUAGGUGAGGUCGUUGCAAGUUGUUGUUGUCGUAGAGAUGCAACAACCUGGCCUUGGAAAUUUCUAAUGGCUAAUUUGAUAUAGUUGCCAACUUCCAAAAGCCAAGCUAGCAGUCCUAUGUGCGAGUCGCGCGCUGCCAGUUCUAUGAAUCUGUUGAUUCAUAGUUUUGUCUAUUUAAUUGAAUGAUUAUAAGUGAAACCCAUUGUCCUUAAUAUUAUAUAAUAUAUUAUAUAAUAUGAAUAUAAUAUGAAUCUGUGAGGCCAUUGCUCACAACACCUCCAAAAAAAAAAAGGUUUCGGACUCCUUUAGGCACAAAUGUUUACAAUUAUGUUUUACAAUUUAAAAUUUUGUUGAACAUUUUAUAGUUGAUUAUAAUUCAGUUACAAUUUUUGUUAUACAUUUUACAAUUAAUUUACAAUUUUGUUUUACCUAAAAUUGUUUUUACAAUUCUGGAACUUAAGUAGGUAUUAUAUGCAUCAUAAUUAUAUGAAGUAAAUAAAGUUGGCCUCGGAAUUGGAUAUGGUGGAUAUGGUUUAUCUUGAGGAGAGUAAGCUGGAUUAUAUGUCAUCCAGAAAUUUCAGGUUUGUCAUACUUUUCUUCUAAUUCCGAAACCAACGUUAAAACUUUUAACUUGGCCUCAGAUAUACCUUUUUUUGAAAAUCAAAAAAAUUCUCGUUGGCACAAUCGCCAUCUGUGGCGUUUGCGCUGCUACUGUCGCUGCUUUUGCUACUGCCACAGCUACUGCUACUGUCAUAGUUGUUUUUGAUAUCAGCUACGUUUUAAUCUUAAUACGUAUUUCAAAAAAUCUUGAGUUAAAAGGUUUUUAGCGAGACUACUCUACUUCGACGCCAUAAACCUACACGUGUCUACGAACCGUAUGGUAAACGUCCUACUUUUAUAUUUCGAAAAUGAUAUAAAUUUCUCUUCGCUAUUAGCAAUAACCUUAACCCUUUCUGAACAAAAGCUUAAAAACAUUAAAAAUAUAAAAAAAAUUUUGUGACUUUCGAUUUUUUUCCUAUAUCUAAGAUAAGGUAUGAACAAAAAAAUCUAUAAUUUUUGAUCCUUGAUCCUUAUUUUAUCCUGGGACUCAAAAGUCCCGUCAGUCCUUUACGGUCUGGACUUAAGUCCCACCAGGCAUUUAGGUUAUUUUUCUUAUAUAUAUAAACAAUAAAAAAAAAAACGCGUUUUCCUAAGGAUUUUUAAAAAAUACAAACGAUUACAAUUUAUAGAAAAUUUUAUUUUUUUUAUAUACUUAACACGUUCACCUCCGCACGUAUAUUCCUAGUCUACCGCCACACGCCGCGUAACUGUUGGCAACAUAUUACGUGUGCCAAUCCGUAAUCGACGGCAGCCAUUGUCUAUAUCAAUGAAGGCAAUAGCCGGCGCCGAUCACGGAUCGUCGUAUAUUCUGAAAUUUAGUUUCAUACUAGACAUUUUUUUAAUUUUGAUUCAUAUGAAAUACGUUAUUAAUAUUUAUUGUUUUAUAAAAUAAAUACAUAAUGACUCCUUAUCACACAUGUAAAAUAUUUUUAUAAAAUAAACAAAAAUAACUUGUACAUAAAAAAACAAUAAAAUAAUAUAAAUAAUAAAUCUUCAGAACAGAAAAUAACCUUGUAACUCUUGUAAUUAAAAAAACAAAAAAAUAACAUAAAUAACAAAUCUUCAGAACAGAAAAUAACUUUGUAACUCUUGUAAAUAAAAACAAUAAAAUAAUAUAAAUAACAAAUCUUUAGAACAGAAAAAAAUAGAUAAUUACAUUCUAAAACCUAAUAAUUAUUAGUAGUUAUAUUUUUUUAUGGUACUCUUCAAAGCAACUUUCAAGACACAAACCUGGUUUUUCAUUGCAUUCCAUACAGUAAUAUAUCGUAUCUUUACGAAUGCCUUUUCCUGAACAAAUUUGACAUCGUUAGUAUUUGUAUUUUUUUUUAUAAUUUUUUUCUACUUUUUUGGGAAGAUGUGUUUCAUUUAUUUUUUUCGUGAUUCGAGCAUUCUUAUUAUCCAGAUCGUUUGGUAAUAAUGCUUCAAUCACAGACAGUCUAAACUCAUACAACAUUGUCUUCUUUGCAUAUUUAUUGUAUAAAAAAUAAGAAUUUACCAAUAACAAAUGUAUACAAUGUAUACCAAUUUUUUUGUACCAUCUUAUAGUCUUUCUUUCAAACGGAUAGUACGAAGUCAUCUGAUCUUGGCGAUCUAUUCCAGACAUAUGUUCAUUAUAUUUUAUAACUGAAAUUGGUUUAAAUAACUAUUUGAAGAAUAAAUUUGUAUUGAAAAACACUUGUGUUUUAUUUGGAAGUUUAUUCACUAAAUGAUUUUAUCCCACAAACAAUUAUUUGUCUGAAAAUAUUUAAGUCAUUUAUAACUGAACGAUUGAAAAUAGUAUUAGAAUAGUAUUAAUUUGCUGAAAUUAAUAAUUGUUAGUAAUCGCACCCUUGGAGCAAGACCGCCUCUUCUUUAGAUCUGUUGUUUUGAGAAAAAUCAUUUUUAAGUUUCUAAUUUUAAUUGAGAACGUAAUUUUUAAGUUAUUUCAAUGAUUUAAACCUUAUAUUUAACAUUAUUAUCUGUACUUUGAACUAGUGUAGAUUACGAUAUUAAUAUCUUAUUGCUAUUAAUAGAAUUUAACUUUAUGGCGGUUUUAAAUUAUAUUUAAUUAUACAAUAGUGCCACAUUUUGAUAUAGUGCAGUAUUACAUUACGUUUUUAAAUGAGUAUAAGCCAUAAACACUAAUAUGGCAGUCUUAUUUUGUGGCAUUGAUACAUAAUAAUGCCACAUUUUGAUUUCAGUCAGUCUUGCAUUAGGUGAGGUUGCAUAUUAGAAUGUUGAGUUCCAACUUUAUGCAUAGAAAUGGUACCUAGUUACACUAAAUUUUUUGUCUUAUUACUUUUGAAAUGAAUAAAUAAAUAAUUUAAUCAAUUAGAUGCUCACAAAAUACAACCAACAAAAUAUAACCUUAUAAUGUUAUGUUUAUUAUUAUAAUAAUAUCAUAAAAAAUUAUUUAAAAUAAACAUCUUACAUUUUAUAUUUUUAAAAUAAUGUAUUAUAUUUAAAUAAUAACAAUAAUAUUCUUUAUACUUCAAAUUGUACAACAUAAACUAAAAUAAAAUAAAAAAUAAAAAAAUAUCCGGUAACAGUUACCUAAUUUUAAAGUCUAAAUUAUAAAAAUUAUGUUUUAUAGGUAAUGAAAAAAUAUAUUUAACAUAAUACUUAUUCUUUUCCUUAAAAAAAAAUUAAAAUACCAAGUAACAAAAUAAACACAUUUAACAACUUAAUUAAAAUCUUUAUCAUCAGUAGUUACAGGUGAUGUAUUUGAAAUUGUGUUCAACUGCUUAAAAAAAUAAUGAUAUGUAUCUGGUAUGAAUUUAGCAUCACAUAAAUUAACAAGAUCUCUUUUUUUUCUUUAGAUAUACCAGGUGGCGUUUGAUACAAAGGACUUAUAUCCAAUUCAAUAUUAUUUUGUUUUGACUUUCUUGUUUUUCUUGAAACAAUAAUUUCCAAAAAAAUCAUUUUGAUCAUAGGAUGUUUUGUAUUGUAUUCUAUCUGGUAAAUCAUCUACUGCGUAGCGUCGUACGGCGUCGGUGCACUGCGGACCAGUCGGCCAUUUAUUUCCAAACUUCACUUCUUCGUCGGUACCUACUGCUCUGCUGUGUGCGCACUGUGUUCGUCUCGUCGCCUCCAAACGCCGACGGUGAUUGUUUUCCGUUCGGUACGCCAUCGGGGCCGGCAUAACAUGGACAGGUUAGGUCUCAUUACGACGGCGAGAACUUGUUGAUUCAGUACCGGCGACUGAAGAAUUUCGCCAUGCAAGCCAUGUAUAACAGGUCAAGUAUAAGGGCUGUUCAUCGUGCAGAAUAUCUGGAACUGUUACAUUGUUACUGGUUUGCAUGCUAUAUACCAGGUGGCGUUUGAUACAAAGGACUUAUAUCCAAUUCAAUAUUAUUUUGUUUUGACUUUCUUGUUUUUCUUGAAACAAUAAUUUCCAAAAAAAAUCAUUUUGAUCAUAGGAUGUUUUGUAUUGUAUUCUAUCUGGUAAAUCAUCUACUGCGUAGCGUCGUACGGCGUCGGUGCACUGCGGACCAGUCGGCCAUUUAUUUCCAAACUUCACUUCUUCGUCGGUACCUACUGCUCUGCUGUGUGCGCACUGUGUUCGUCUCGUCGCCUCCAAACGCCGACGGUGAUUGUUUUCCGUUCGGUACGCCAUCGGGGCCGGCAUAACAUGGACAGGUUAGGUCUCAUUACGACGGCGAGAACUUGUUGAUUCAGUACCGGCGACUGAAGAAUUUCGCCAUGCAAGCCAUGUAUAACAGGUCAAGUAUAAGGGCUGUUCAUCGUGCAGAAUAUCUGGAACUGUUACAUUGUUACUGGUUUGCAUGCUGUAAGUUUAAGAUUUCUACUCGCAUUAUUCAAUAAGUUAUGAGUAGGUCCUUGGAAGUUGUUGAAUUUCAAUGUUUUUAUUGGACUAUUAUAUUUACUAAGUUGGUUUGAAAUUAAUUUCACGACACUACCUACGAAAAGAUUCUAUAAUUAUUCCAUAAUACUAUUAUGCAUGUUAAAAUUAUUAAAUAUACAUUAACUAUAUACUUAAGGUAAAUAUAUUGGAUAGGAGGAGGGCAUGCCCCCUGGAAUGUCUAGGACUUAUCUACAACUUUAAUAACUAUAAAGAUUAUUAUCUAUUUAAUGUAAUCCAAACAUAAAACAA